rnacentral:misc_RNA from 1 species
UUUCCGUAGGUGAACCUGCGGAAGGAUCAUUAAUGAGUUGUCAUGGGGUUCGAUGCUGGCAGCCAGUUUCUGGAUGCAUGUGCUUGCCCUAACAAUCAUCUUCUUCCAAACACCUGUGCACAUUUUUGAGGGAGUCUUGGGUUGGUUGCCGCUCUUGGGUGAUUUUCUCACAUUCCCUUAAAUCAUUAUACGCUAUUAACAAUGUUGAACGUGCUCUGUGCCGCAAGGCCAUUAAUAUAAUACAACUUUUAACAACGGAUCUCUUGGCUCUC